rnacentral:lncRNA from 1 species
ACUAUUACAAAUCCCCGCCUCCACCACCAUACUAUUACAAGUCCCCACCUCCACCUCCGCCUAAGUAUUACUACAAGUCGCCCCCACCACCGUCUCCAUACUAUUACAAAUCCCCGCCCCCUCCACCGUACUAUUACAAAUCCCCACCACCACCUCCCUACAAAUACGAAUCGCCGCCGCCUCCUCCUUACAAAUACGAGUCCCCACCUCCACCACCUUACUAUUACAAGUCCCCACCACCACCUCCAUACAAAUAUGAAUCCCCGCCACCUCCAGUCUACAAAUAUGAGUCUCCGCCACCCCCAGUUUACAAAUACAAGUCGCCACCACCACCAUACAAGUACGAGUCACCACCACCACCUCCAUACAAGUAUGAAUCCCCGCCACCUCCACCUUAUUACUACAAGUCCCCUCCACCACCACCAUACAAGUACGAGUCGCCACCACCUCCUCCGUACAAGUAUGAAUCUCCACCACCACCAGUUUACAAAUACAAGUCACCUCCGCCGCCACCUUAUUACUACAAAUCCCCACCGCCACCUCCAUACAAGUACGAGUCUCCACCUCCUCCUCCGUACAAGUAUGAAUCUCCACCACCACCACCUUAUUACUACAAAUCCCCCCCGCCACCUCCAUACAAGUACGAGUCACCGCCUCCUCCUCCGUACAAGUAUGAAUCUCCACCACCGCCAGUUUACAAAUACAAGUCACCCCCGCCACCACCUUAUUACUACAAAUCCCCGCCACCACCUCCAUACAAGUACGAGUCUCCACCUCCUCCUCCGUACAAGUAUGAAUCUCCACCACCACCUCCUUAUUACUACAAAUCCCCGCCGCCACCUCCCUACAAGUAUGAAUCCCCGCCACCACCUCCCUACAAAUACGAGUCACCUCCACCACCACCUUACUAUUACAAAUCUCCUCCACCGCCUCCAUACAAGUAUGAGUCGCCACCACCACCAGUCUACAAAUACGAGUCUCCGCCACCCCCAGUUUACAAAUACAAGUCGCCCCCUCCACCUUAUUACUACAAGUCUCCGCCACCCCCGCCAUACAAAUAUGAAUCCCCACCUCCACCUCCCUACAAGUAUGAAUCGCCUCCUCCUCCACCUUACUACUACAAGUCCCCUCCACCACCUCCCUACAAAUAUGAAUCCCCGCCACCACCUCCCUAUAAAUACGAGUCACCACCACCACCACCUUACUAUUACAAAUCUCCUCCACCGCCUCCAUACAAGUAUGAGUCGCCACCACCACCUCCCUACAAAUACGAGUCACCACCACCACCACCUUACAAGUAUGAAUCCCCACCUCCACCUCCGUACAAGUAUGAAUCACCUCCACCGCCUCCAUACAAGUAUGAAUCCCCUCCUCCACCUCCCUACAAAUACGAGUCACCACCCCCACCACCUUAUUACUACAAAUCGCCUCCGCCACCGGAGUAUCAAUCACCUCCUUACGUGUAUAAAUCUCCACCUCCACCCUCGUACUAGGAGCUAAGGAGCAUUUGAUUUUCAGGUGAGAAAUCUAUAGAACCACAGUUCCUAGUUUUAACAAGUUUUCAAAUUCAUCAGGUUGUAAGAAGAGGACGUCGAAGUAGAUACGGAUGUGUAGAUUGGGAUCUCGUUGGCUUUGAGUAGCAAUUUGUUUCCACCAUCGAAGUCUUCUCUCCGCAAUCUUCUCAAGGCGCUCACAAAGCGCUCAGGGGCAGUUUUGAAGUGCAGCGGGACCCCUGCAAAAUAAGCACAGGCUUGUUGAGGAAGUUUGAGAGCUUUUGUUGGUUGCCAAUAAACACAGGGAAUUAGCGCAUAUGUGCGCCCUCCUGGCUUCCAGUUGUGAACGAUUCUGAAGUAAAUAAUUUGAUUCUGCGACUAGAAAGCAUGCUGGACCAUUCUGGAAGUGUCUCCAGGACUGCCAAAAGGCUAAAUCCAAGAUUUUCAAAAGGAUCCGUCUUUCUUCUAAGAAGAUCGAUCUUCUUAGAAGAUCUUGACGUCGCAAGCAAGACCUGAGAUCAAGGUUCACAAUGUAGGAGUCGAUUGCGGGCAUUGAAUGAACGAAAGGAAAUCCUGGCCAGUCUCUCCUUUUCUAGCUCGACACCCGGCAAUCCAGAAGAAAAGGCUGCUCGAUCGUAUUUUCCAUACGAGGACUUUUAUGCCGCAUUGAUCGUUGCUGCUCACCACUUUGACAAUGAAAGGUUUGAAACUCAAGACUAGUUCCUGUGUAGAAAAUGCCAAAAGAAAAUCCACAUCAUAGAAAUGUAAAAAAUGCCAAAAGAAAACCACAUCAUAGAAAUGAGCUCGUGGCCAAAAGAAAUGGAGAUGAGGGGCAUCGAUCCCCUUACCUAUCGCAUGCGAAGCGAUCGCUCUACCAUCUGAGCUACAUCCCCGUUUGAUCUUACCAGCCGCUGAUACCAGGCAUAUUCUCCGAUCGCCGACUUCCUUGCAGGUUCCAAUGGGCGGAAAAGAACACUUCUCGAGGGAGACAUGGAAGCCUGGAAUCGCAAAGGAGAGGGUAGGGUUCCUUGCUUUUUUCGCCCACCAGGUAGCUAUCUCUAAUUCUGCCAAGGAUGCCUAGAAGAAAGCUUGUGGAGAUCGAUGUCACGUCGGAUACGGUGUGCCCCUGGUGCUACAUCGGGAAGAAGAACUUGGAGCGGGCAAUCGAGGCCUCGGCAGACGAAUACGACUUCGAGGUAACUGGUUGGAUUCAUUCCUCCUCUCGAGUCUUAGAACGCUUCGAUCCAAUCACGCAGGUUCGAUGGCGUCCCUACUUGCUGAAUCCCAGCGCCCCCGUCGAGGGUGUUGAUAAGCUUGCUUAUUACAAGUCCAAGUUUGGAGAAGGUCGAUUUUCUUCUAUCGUGGGCCGAUUGAGCAAGGUUUUUUUUACUGUGAUGAUCUAGCAAAUGCUUAUUAGUAAGUCUAAGAUGAUAAAUUGGUUCUCAGGUGUUUGAGGAUGUUGGACUCGAAAUCAACUUUGGCGGCCUCACGUAAAGAUCAUCACGCUUUAAUCUUUGUGUGUGUGUUAACUUUGUGGGAUUUCCACAGGGGAAACACUCUGGACAGCCACAGGCUUAUCGAACUGGCUGGACGUCAAGGCUAUGACAAGCAGAACGCGCUUGUCGAGGAGCUCUUCCUCAACUAUUUGACUCAAGAGAAAUACAUCGGUGACAGGUUUCUCUUCUUCUCCCUCGGCGAAGAUUUGUGAGAUCUCGGUUGAGCUGACAUGGUCUCGUUUGAUCAGGCAAGUUCUGGUGGAUGCCGCGGACAAAGUUGGAGUCACGGGGGCCAGCGAGUUUCUCGCUGAUCCUAAUGCCGGCCUCAAGGAGGUUUGUUUGUUUCUUUUAUCUCCAAGGCUUCAGCGUCGCGAUGUUCUACUGUUGCGCAGGUCCUGGAACAACUCAAAAAAUAUGGCACUGGAGUGAAUGGUGUCCCGCAUUUUCUAGUAAGCACAACUCUAAACUUUGAUGGUGAUCACUAAACUUUCGUCGUCCUCUACAGGUGAAUGGCAAGUAUCAACUCUCUGGCGCCCAGCCACCCAGCUCCUUUAUCGAAGUUUUCAAGAAGAGCUAGCUAGACUUAUGGUCUCUUUACAUCUUCUAGUGUGAAAGAAUCUCUCUCUCUCUCUCUCUCUCUCCCUCUCCAGACUUAUGGAAGCCAGCGAGUGCCUGGCACUGCUCGAUCGUUGCAAGACACUGUCCGUGGCCAAGGACAUCCAUUCCCGCAUCCAAGGAAACGUCCACAGCUCCGCGGCCAUCGCCAACAAGCUGAUCGAGGUCUACGGCCGGUGUGGGAGCAUCGACGAUGCACGCAGGGUGUUCGAUGCCACCAAUGCCAAAGACGCGGUUUCGUGGGUCGCGAUGCUCUCUGUCUACACUCGCAACGGGCAUCCAGAAGACGCCAAGCGCAUGUUUGAGAACAUGCCAGAUCGAUCUCCAGCGUCCUGGAAUGUCAUGUUGCUUGUCUACGUCCAAGCUGGGAAUCUACAAGCUGCAAGGCAACUGUUUGAAGAGAUGCCGGAACAGACUCUAGUGUCCUGGAACACUAUGCUCUCUGCAUAUGCCAAAGCCGGGCAUCUUGACACAGCGAAAGAGUUGUUUGAUGCAAUGCCGCAUCACAACAUCAUCUCUUUCUCAGCUAUCCUUCCCGCGUUUGUGGAGAAUGGGCUCCUUGACGAUGCCAGGAUCUUGUUCGAUUCCAUGCAAGAGAGCAACCUCGUGUGCUGGAACACUCUCCUGUCGGCCUACACGCGGCACGGGCACCUCCAGGAAGCGGCUCUCCUCUUCGCCGACAUGCCGGCACGGGACAUUGUCUCCUACACCGCACUCUUGUCGGCUCUCUCGCAGCACAGCCGGCUAGAAUAUUCUAAGAUCCUCUUCGAGGAGAUGCCAGAGAGAAGCAUCGUGUCGUGGACCGCGAUGCUGACUGCAUAUGCCCAAAACGGGUGUCUGGCGGAAGCGAAGGAGAUAUUCGACAAGAUGCCGGAGCGUGACUUUGUGUCAUGUACUGCUAUUCUUGCGGCGUACAGCGAAGCCGGGAUGGUUGACAGGGCAAGGUUUUGUUUCGAUCGGAUGCCAGAGCGAAACAUGGUUACUUGGACUACCAUGCUUGCUGCAUAUGCCCAGCGUGGGCUUGUUGACGCCGUCGCCAAGUUGUUCCAGAAAAUGCCCCAGAGUGAUCUCAUAGCUUGCAACACCAUGGUGAGCGCAUACGGUCAAAGCGGGCGGCUGGACGAGGCUGUACAGGUGUUUGAAGUGAUGCCGGUGCGAAGCCUGGUGACAUGGAAUGCUAUGCUAGCUGCUUAUGCCCAAAACUGUCAUCUUGAGAGCGCAAAGAAGGUAUUUGAUUCAAUGCCUAUGAAGGAUCUCGUUGCCUGGACGGAAAUGCUCGUAGCUUAUGCCCACGCUGGUCAUUUGGAAGAAGCUAAGUGUGUCUUUGACAAAAUGGCACAGAGGGAUGUGGUUUCCUGGAAUGUAAUGGUUACUGCGUUUGGCCAAAACGGCUACCUGGUUGAGGCCCAGCGGUUGUUUGAAUCCAUGCCAUUUCACAGUGUGAUGUCUUGGAACUCCAUUCUGGUUGCAAACAGCCAAUUUGGUGGAUUGCAGGGCUCGAGAUUAGUUUUUGAUGAGAUGCCAUGCCGUGAUACUGCUUCCUGGAGUGCAUUGCUCUUCGCUUAUGCCCAACAUGGACUUGACCAGAAAUGCAAGUUUCUAUUCGAUAGAAUGCCAGAGAAGUCUGUUGUCUCAUGGAACUCCAUGUUAGCCGCAUACACAUACAGUGGUAACUCUGUAGCAGCGAUGGAGCUGUUUAGUCUCAUGAAGAUGAAUGAAUUGCCUAACGAGACAUCUUUUCAUCUGGUUUUAAUCGUGUGCAGCCGCAGAAGAAGCGCAUCUGAAGGGAGGAGACAAUUCCUUUCAAUGUACGCGGACUUUGGGAUAUAUCAAGGAAAACAGCAUUUUCACCUCGUCCUCGAUCACUGGACCGAAGCCAAGGAUGGAUUUCCAUCUGAGCCAAGCAAUGCAGCUCUGGCGAAGAACCAGGUGACAGAAAACUUUCAUAGUUGACAUACUCUUUUCAAGGCAUUUGACAGGAGAAUGUAUGGCAACCGGUUUUGCUCAUCGACUCCGACGGCAUUCCUUGCAGCAGCCGCUCCCUGCUGCGUGUCACCAUGGAUAUCACACGCAGAGAGGAGAGUGGCCCAAUUCUUGAGCUCUGGAACGUAUGGCAUGCUCUCGAUCAGCCCUUUAGCCUCGUCAAGCUGCCCAGCUCGAGCAAGAAGAUCGACAAUGCAGCGGAAAUGGCUGGCUCGGGCAUCCAAGCCGUAAUCCAGGUCCAUGAACACGAAGUGCCGCCAUGCCAAACCGAAGAAUCCCUCGUGUCCCAAGGCCGAGAUGAGACUGAGCAGUGUGAUCUCGUUGGGAUCCCAGCCGUCCAGCUUCAUCAACUGGAAGAGCUCAAGAACACACCUCACGCGCUUCAAACUCCGCUCCCUGCGUCGCUGCUGCUCCUGCGGCCGACUGGAAUCCUCUCGUCGCGUGUAGACCUGCAGCAUCAUGUUCCAUGCCACCACCGUGCGCUCCGGCAUCAUUCGAAAGAGCUUCCUGGCCUCAGUGUGAUGCCCGCUUCGAGAAUACGCAGUUAUCAUGGAUGACCAUGAAAUGCUGUCUUUUACGUGCAUGCUAUCAAAAACUUUCCUUGAAACGUCUAAGAAUCCCGCUUGGAUGUAAGCGAAGUUCAUAGCGUUACACGCUGCCAGACUUUGACACGGCAUUUCUACAAAUAAACUCCUGGCUUCCUCUACAUGCCCGACUUGGGCAUAUGCCGCCAGCAUGGUAGUCCACGUCACUUGGUCACGGACGGGCAUGGAGUCAAAGAUGUCUCGGGCUUGUUCCACGUGUCCGUGGUCGCAGUAGCCUGCCACCAGGGACGUCCACGUCACUAUAUCCCUGGCGGGCAUGCUGUCAAACAGCGUCAUGGCAGCUCCAAGGUGGUUGUUCUUCGCGUAGCCUUCAACCAUUGCAUUGCAAGCAAUGCCAUUCCACACGGGCAUUCGAUCAAACAGCGCCUUGGCAUCAUCUAGCUUGCUGCUUCUCAACAGAAUUACUAGCAUUGUAGUGAAAGACACCUCGUCCCUCUCUGGCAUCAUUUCGAAAAACUCAAUCGCUUCAUUCAGCCUCCUGUCGCCAUCGCCAUCUUGCGAAUGUGCCGCAAGCAUGCUGUUCCAGGCUAUUAGAUCCUGCUCUGGCAUCUCACUAAAGAUCUGCUUCGCAAUGUCGAAAUGCCCACUUGCGGCAUUUGCUGUGAUAAUGGCAUUCCAUGCGACGGUACCAUGUUCGGGCAUUUUCUCAAAAGUAUCCCUUGCCUUUGAAAUCUCUUUGUUUAGUGUGUAGCCUUGCAGCAUUGCGUUGUACGUUAUUUCAUUCCGAACAGGCAUUGAAUCAAACAGAAGUUUUGCGUUUUCCAGAUCCUCGCCUUUGGCAUAUGCUAAAACCAUGGCAGUCCAUGAUACAACAUCCCUCUCCGGCAUGUCCUUAAACAGCGUGCUUGCUUGAUCAAAGUUUCCAAUGUCAGCAUACGCGGCUAUAAUAGUAUUCCAAGAAACAAGAUCUCUUUGAGGCAUCGAAUCAAACAUAGACCUCGCUUGUCCCAAAUGCCCAUUCUGGGCAAGUGCAGACAUCAUGAUGUUCCAGGAGAAAACGUUGGGCUUGUAAAGUUGGUGAAACACCAGCCAUGCUUGCUCGAGCUGCCCACACCUUCCAUACAUGUCUACCAAAAGAUUUCCGAGGUAUCUGUUUGAUCUGUGCUCGCUAGCAUUGAUCUGUGCGUGAACACAUCGUCCUCGGUCGAGGUCCUUGGAAUUGCCGCAUGAUCUGACAAGGGACCCAAACCUCGCGAGCUCCUCGAUGGAUUGCAUUGUUUCUCUCGAGCGCGUGGGCGAUAGCGAUUCAUCCAAGAAUGGUGGAUGCCUCUCGCAAUCUCUUGUGCCAUAUACUAAGAUAUGAUUGUGUCAAAUGCUUGCGAGGCAAGAGCGCAUCGAGCACUAUGCAUCGCUCAUCCGAUCUUGCCAAGAUACACGCCAGGGGAGACAACUCCACGAGCGCGUCCUGGGCAGCGAGUUUCGGAGGAACAGAUACUUGGGCAAUUUGUUGGUAGAGAUGUAUGGCAAAUGCGGGGAUGUAGAGAGCGCAAGGCAGGCGUUCCGAGAGGUCUAUGAGCCCAACACAAUCUCGUGGAAUAUAAUGAUCGCGGCGCUCUCCGAUAACGGCUACGUUGAGGACGCUCGUGCCGUGUUUGAUCAAACGCCUUACAAAGAUGGUGUCUCCUGGAACACCAUUCUUGCAGCAUAUGCCCAAGCGGGGCAUAUUGUAGAGGCGCGUAAAAUCUUUGAGGAAAUGCCAGCGAAAGACGAGGCAUCCUUUACCGCUUUGAUUUCGGCUCUUGGGAGGAUUGGAGAGGUGAGGGCUGCCAAGACCAUCUUUGAUGGCAUGCCGGUGUGGAACACCAUGUCGUGGAACACCAUGCUCCAGGUAUUUUCGACGAAUUCUUAUGUAGAAGAAGCGGAGAAGAUGUUUGAAACGCUGCUGGAGAAGAAUGUUGUGUCGUGGACUGCUAUGAUCGCCGCGUGUGGUGAGCAAGGAAACCCGGAGAAAGCCAGGGGAUACUUUGACACGAUGCCUCUCUUUGAUCUUGUAGCUUGGUGUAGCAUUGUCACCGCAUAUGCCCAAAAUGCGCAUGCUGGAGAGGCCAAGUUUUUGUUCGACAUGAUGCCUGAGCACAACCUGGUCGUCUUUAAUGUCAUGGUUCUGGCUUACGCACAAAACGGAAACUUUGAUGAAGCACGCAGCAUGUUUGAGCAAAUGCCGUUCCGGGACUCAGUCUCUUGGACUGCCAUGGGAACGGCAUAUGCGCAAAAUGGGCAUCUCCAAGAAGCAUGGAAAGUGUUUGAGGUCAUGCCGGAGAAGAACUUGGUAUCUUGGAACGCUAUGAUACAAGCCGUCUCGCAAAUCGGAAGGCUGGAUGCGAUGGCCGAGCUGGGAUACUCUCGGCUGCUCAACGAUCGUAAUAGAAACCAAUGGAGGACUCUGAGAGACAAGAGCGUAGCGGAGGCUCUUGGCCACCUCUAUCUCAUGCUUCUCGAUGGCUGGGAGCCAAACGAGGUGACAUACUUGAGCUUGGUUUCCGCUUGCGGUCACGCAGGGAUGCUGAAAGACGCAUUGUCCCACUUCAAGGCAAUGACUUUCGACCACCGCCUGCGUCCUCAAGCCGGCCACUUCAGGUCCAUUCUGGAUCUCCUGAGCCGCGCAGGGAGACUGGCCGAGGCCAAGGAUCUCAUCCAAAACAUGCCGUUUGUCCCGGAGACUCCUGCGUGGGCGACGCUACUUUCGGCUUGUGGAACACAAGGUGACUCGAGACAGGAAAGUUCUAGCGUUGCACAGAGUGUGCUCGAGAUGAGGUCCGGGAGCUGUGGAUCCUACGUUCUCAUCUCCAAUCUAUACUCCGCAAAGAAGUACGCAAGACAGUGAAUCGCUCUCUGGCGAAGCGACGAACUUAGAGAGCCAAAGUUGCAUCUCUUCCAUGGAAGGACGCCAAAGGAAGGACGGCAUAGACAAAAUGCCAAACUUCUGUGCGUCUCGGUCCGAGGUAGUGACGCUGGCAAGAGACAAGAGGGAAGGCUCAAGCUUAAAGAUCCAAGGACAAGCUCUCCGGUGGGAUUCGAGCGGGAGAGAAGUAGGCCAGCAGCAUCGAAACAAGAGCACACGCCAAAACCAUCGCUCGAAUCAGUAAGAUCAUUAAGAGAACACUAAGUGAAAAGACACAAAGUAGAAGAAAAGAAAAGCCUCCAUUUUUAUUUACAAACGCAAAGUCCCACUAGUACUACGAUCAAUCGUUUUAUCAUGAGCAGCACCCAGCUUUCUUUUUUGUUCUUGGAUCCUCACAGUGAUGGGCGAUGCGAUCGGCGAGGAAAGAGGCAGUUCAUCACCAUCACGUACUGUCGAGAAAGGGAAGCUUGGCGAGGAGCCACAUAUAUAAAUAUACCAUCGCGAUCAUGUCAAAGCUGGCGACGCUCGGGGAGCGAUGGCGCUGGAGCGGAUGAAUUGGAGCACCUCGGGCAUGAACACGUAGCUCACGGUUCCAUCGGGCGUGACGAAUCCAUGCGUCGCGUCCGGAUACUCUACGAGCUUCACCUCCACGCCGCUCUCGCGCAAGAAAUCCGCGUAGGCGACCUGGCGGUCGUGGAGCAAGUCUCGCCCGCCCACGAUCACCAGCGCCGGCGGGAGAUUGCAUGGCAGCGGCUGCGCGGCCGCGAGAGGAUCGCAGAAGGGAUGGUCGCGCGACGCGCCAUCCGGGAGCGCAAGGCUCCACAGCUGGUCGCUCAUGGCGAGCGUGAGGAUGGGGCCGUCGGAGAGGCGGAGCUCCGAGGCGGUCCUGUGCGCGCCACCAAAGAAUGGCUGGAGGAGGAUCUGGGCGGCGAAGCUGAGAGGAGGGAGGAGCGCGCGCUUGCUCUUGGACGACUCGAGCACCAUGAGGAGCGCGUUGUGGACAAUGUUGCCGCCAGAGCUUCCGCCCAUGAAGAUCAAGCUGGAGAAGUCGGCAUACGAGGCUAGCCAGGGAUCCCUUUGAGGAAGAUGGUGGUCGCCACCAUCGCGCAAGCUCGUGAUCUGGUGGUGGUGAUCAUGACUAUCACCAUUGCCAUCCACAGUAGCGCUGGCAGCAUCGCCACCAUCGCCAUCGCUGGUGGAGAGAAGAGCUUGGGCUCGGAGCCAGUGGAGCGCCGAGACGAGGUCUUGGUAGGCGGCGGGGAGGCACGAGGCCGGCGCCAAUCUGUGGUUGAGCGAGACAACAAGAGCAGUGGCAUCAGUGGCUACCUUCUUGCAGAAAUCGUGGUACGAGGACGUGGCGGCGCUGAAUCGGACGAAUCCUCCGCCGUGGACAUGGACCACAAUGGGGAGCUUGCGCUUGGAAUUGAUCUGGAGCGCCGCCGCGGGGAGAUAGAGCCUGACCCACACACGACCAUCGCCACCGCCGAGCUUGACAUCCCGCGACGCCACACCAUCCGCGAAGCUGGAAUCCGCGGCAACCUCGGGGAUUUCCCAGCUCUGCGCGGACGCUGGCGGCCCUGUGGAAUCGCCCAUCAUGCUCUAGCUCUCUCGCGCUCCCGGAGAGAGAGAGAGAGAGAGAGAGAGAGAGAGGCGCGGCGCGGUGAAAGAAUCAAAGAAAUAACUCGUAGAAAACGCGGAGCAAAUCCUGCGCUCCUCCAAUCCAAUCCUGCGCAGCGCUUCUUCCUUCUCCAGGUUUUGUAGCUCUCGCUCCUCUCCGCUCUAGCUACGCGGCCCAAGAGCUUGAUUAGCCACAUUCUUCUUUUUCCAUUGUUUAAGCUUUGCCAUGGACCCUCUCUUGACAAUGCUUCACCAACAAUCACGAAAGUGAAAGGCGCGCAUAAAUAUUCCUCUAAUCGCUCUCUCCUCGCUGCAGAUCUCCCUUGCGGGGUGGAUCUAGAGGAUGAUCUAUGCGUAAGUUAUUUGCACCACACGAGAGGGUGAUUGAUUGAUUAUCAAAUCGCGAUUUGAUAAACCCCGCGGUAUAGCUGUUCCUCAUAUGCGAAUUAUAUCCAUGCGAGCGUGGUCUCGCCUUGGCGAUCUCGCUGUCCACGAGCAUCCGGAUGCUCCACCCCUCGCAAGCAAUUCGCUCUCGAUCGAGUGUAACUCUCUCGCUUUUCCCGCUUAGCAGACAAUGUAAACAAUCGAUCGAUCGCUCUCGUGCUCUUUGGUUGCUCGAGAAUGCUGACAAGAGUUCGCUCUGUGGCAUAGAUUAUCUAAGCAAAGUCUGCGAGUGUGGCGAAGGAGAUCUCCCAGCGACACUUGCUAAAAAAAAAAAAAUCUUGUGCAAAGCACUCGCGGCCAAGGGUGGGAGUGAUGCGUCCAUUGCGAAUGAUUGGCAUAUGAGUUAUCGCGGGUGUAUGAUGAGAUAAUCACAAACCACACUCAAACAAACCAAACAACCUCAACCUUAUAGAAUCGCAAACAUUAUUCCUGGUGGGAAUCCUGGCAAAGACUUUGAAAUUUCUGCCACCACCCGCCCUACCUAGUCUAUGAUCCGAGCGAGCGAACGCGGCAAAACAAAGAGAGAGAGAGAGAGAGAGGAAGAGAAAAAAAAAAGCAAGAAAGAGAGAGCGGAAGAUUCCUUUUUCUCUCAACAAAAGCCGAGAGAGAGAGAGAGAGAAGAAGAGAAAAAAAAGCAAGAAAGAGAGAGCGAGAGAGCGGAAGAUUCUUUUUUCUCUCAACAAAAGCCGAGAGAUUCCUUUAUUUCAACCAAAGCUACCUAUAUUAUUCGAUAUUCGCUUUCUUUCUUCACGGGUGUGACCACUCAACUCCUUGAUUCAUAGGCAAGGUGAUAGAAACUUUAGUUUUUCCUCCAGCGAAACAACGUGGUGGCUGAUGCUCUGACUUGAUCCAAAACAUAUAAUCGAUCGUGCCACCAGAUUUACGAGGAAGCAUACAUCCUCCAUAGCCGCAAGCCAAGACAAGCGACCAAGCGAGCCAAGACGCAAGCUAGCAAUCAAGCAAAGCAGCACAGACACAUGAUCUCAUUCAUCGCAUCAUCGUGCUCAGCGCUUGGGUGAUCUCAUCCUGCAGCGCAAGAUUUGGGAUUGUCGCAGAUUCCUUUGGUUGAAUCCACAACUUGGUCCUGUCGAUCAUGUCCUGGAUUCGUUAAUUCACGCUCUCAUACAGCCCAGUCACAGCUCACUUUCUUCCUUCCCAGAGUGGAAGCAAAGCAAAUCACACCGAGGGAGAGACGAAGAAAAGCGCCGAGACAAAAUCCAAACCACAAGACGUAUGCUUCCGUGUGGCAGAGCCGUAGCUCCACCAUGAAGCCAAAAAAAAAAAAAAAGGAAAAAUAGUCGAAGAAAAGAGUACGAGAAAGAAAAGGAAGAAAUAUACCUACGUGCUACGUACAAACAAAUGCAUGAGACGCGACAAAGCAUGAAUGGGAGAGAGAGAGGCCGAGGAAAAAAAAAAAAAAAACUGAUAGAAGAGAUGGAAAAACUAUUCUUUGUUUCUAGGAGGCAUCUGAAAAGGGAGUAAUACCUCUGUGUCCACUGAAGCGAUGUCCUUGCUUUUCUCGCCGCGGCCUUGCUUCAAUUCAAGCCUUGGGUCUGAGUCUUGCUUCUCUCUCGCUCUCUCGUACUGCUCGUCUCGUCUGGAGAGAUUCCAGUUGUUUAGUAUUCCAAAAUCAAGCACUUAAGUACCUCCUUCUCUUUCUCCUGGAGUCCGAGCCAUUUACUCGGAAGGCUUGGAGGGGUCGCUCUUUGAUAGCCUUCCGUAGCACGGGAUGUAAGUUGUAAUUUAGACUGGGAUGGUUCCUGCCUGGCAAGCUUGUAUAGUUUCAAACCAAAAAGAAAAGGAGAAAGUUGCUUACGAAGGUUUACGUCUGAUCUUUCCAGAUGAUGUCUUUGAGUCCCGUUGUGAACGACUGGUGGAACUGCGCAGCGACAGCAUAUUGUUAAUGUUGAUGGCGAGGAAGAGAAAUAAAGAAGAGUCAAACAGUUGCCUUGUGAUACUCGAGUGUAUCGCCACCAGAUUUCCGUAGCUCCACCACGUAAAAAGACGGUGCAACUUCGAAGACCUGAGAGCAGAGCUUUUGUACGAGAGAAUGAGAACCAAAACGCUUUACCUCCGUGCACACCGAAAGAUGGCCUUUCCUACCUCGCUUUGACCCUUGCAGCGUCAUCUGAAGGAAAGUGCUUGUCCAACUCAUGCAAUCCUUUUUAGAACUAUACCUUGUAGUUCCUCUUCUGGAUAUGGAACCCCAGCGGUCUCGCAGUUUCUUCUAUUGUUCUCACAAUCUCUUUCGCAGGAUGUUUCGAUGUGAACCGUGACUCGCGUUCCACCUCCUACAACAAGUUACGCGAUCGUGAGCAUCUCUAUAGAGAGGAAAGAUAAAUGCUUGAGGAUACUUACACGAUGCUCGAAAAGGCCUGACAAGUUGAAUCCUCGCGACAUCGAUAUGAUCUCAAAAGCAUUCAUGGUGACUGGUUGUGGCUCCUCUUUCUCCGCCACAAGAUGAUCCUGCAAGAAAAUUUCAGUUCUCUUUCAUGUCAAUUUGCCAGACACGCCGUCCUACCUCAGAGCCAUUAAACACCGCAUCAAUGUCGUCAAGGUUGGGACUUUGUUCCUUUCCAAGUGUCAUUGGUUUGUGUUCGACUUGAAACCACUCAUUGUCCAUUAUCCUGGAGAUGGAUAUGCGCUGACGCACAAAUUCGGAAAAGGGCGAGAGAGAGACCAGCACAAGCAAAUAUUACUACAUCAAUGAUGCCAAUUUAAUUCUUACUGAUUUCGGAUUUGGAUCCAGUAUCUUUUGUACAAGCUUUCGGGAGCCCCUUGAAAACCAAUGCGGAAAUGUAAAAUCUGCGCGAUGCAUCUAAUUCGCAUUUAAUUCAUGUCAGCUGAACAGGAAAAACAACCAAACAGAUGUUUUCAUACCUUCUUGUACAGUGCCACCAGAUUAGGCUCGUCAAAUGGCAAGUAUCCAGCCAAGAGGACGUAUAAAACAAUUCCGCAAGACCAGAUAUCGGCUUUGAAACCGUCGUAGCCUUUGUCACUGAUGACCUGUAGAACGAUAAGUUCACACAAGCUAAAACAACAAGCAACGCAGUUACCUCGGGAGCUACGUAGUUUGGCGUUCCACACGUUGUAUGAAGAAGGCCAUCCGACUGUAAAAUCAUUCACUAAUUUAAUGAGCGAGUUCUCUUAUGGUGAACUUAACUCGGCACUGUUGAGGAAGGGCACUUAGACCGAAGUCUGAGAUUUUCAAGUUUCCAUCUGAAUCCAAUAGCAAGUUCUCUGGCUGCCAAAACAAACGCUUCUAAGUCGAGAGCUCUACAAAUAUCAGUUCGUUUCUUUCGAGAAUCACCUUUAAGUCACGGUGGCAGACACCCCUGCUGUGACAAUAAUCCACAGCAUCGAUCAGUUGCUGGAAAUAUAUUCGGGCUUUACGUUCAUCUUGCUUUCCCUCUCGCGCCUGGACGAAAAAGAAAUAAAAAGAAAUCUAUGUCAUUCUUUAAUGAAAAACUGUCAGAUGCCUUACGAUCUUGUCAAACAUUUCUCCACCUGUGACAUAUUCCAUAACCAUAUAAAUCUUGGUCUUGCUGCCUAUAACCUGUAAAGGAAAGUCUCACCACCAAAAAAGAAGAGCUUUGGGAAAUGGUUGAAAUAUAAGCUUACUUACCUCAAACAGCUGAAUGACGUUGGGAUGUCUCACCAGCUUCAUUGUAGAAAUUUCGCGUUUGAUCUGUAAAGUUCGUCAAGAUGACCAGCAAUGAAAGCGAGCUCGACCAUUUCUGCUUUACCUGAUCGACCAUCUUGUGCUUCAAAAUCUUCUCCUUGUCCAAGAUCUUAAUCGCGACGCUCUCGUUCGUCUCCAAGUUCCUGGCGUACUUGACCUUGGCAAAAGUACCUUCUCCAAGUGUCCGUCCCAGCUCAUACUUCCCAACGCGAGUUCUCCGGUAGCUCAUUCCUUCCCCCUCUGGAUGGAAUUCCUAAUCCUCAAGAGCGACACAACGCAUUUGAUCCCAGUCACAGGCUCGAGGAGAUCGCCGAGGGAAACAAGAUCCAGGCCGGAAGAUCAAGCGUGCCGAGUGGAAAUGCAGCUGCGAACAAGCCAAGAGAAAGUGAUGGGUGGAUCCAUGCAAUGCGCGCGGGCUGGCGAGCGAGACAUUGAUUACCUGCCGUGCCCACCGAGAAACCCUAAGUCGCGAGUCGCAAGAAGCCGCGCACUGUUCCAUCGGCGAGGAAGAAGAGAAGGAGCCGCCUCGUUGGAACAGGGGGGCGGGCCGUACACGUCACGACGCGGCGGCGUACGGACGUGGUCCAGAAAGACAGGAACUAAUUAGGGCAACGGUGGCGCCACCAAAAGAGCAUUGGGGGCGUGGUUUUCGCUCGCCGCGAUUCGAGACAAUCUUUGGAUGUGCCACCAACCUUGUGUGCAUUAUACACAUAAAAAUCAUACAAUUGUUGUAAAUGUGGGUGCUGGUUUUCCAACAAAAGAUUUGAUAGAGAGCAUCGAAUCAUAUCGCACCGCCAAAACACUUUGUCCGUCCAUUGUCUCCUCUAGAGCGCUUAUUCGCGGGCUAGAGUCGUGGUAAAAACCGCGGUGAAAAAAACCGGGCGCGGUAAAACAGCGGCGACAAUUUGGUGGCGCCAACUUCCUAGAAAGCUUGCAAAUCCACCUAGGGCCUGUGGCGACGCCAAAUUUAAGAAAGAUUUACCAAAAUUACCACACCACCCGUGCGUUUUUCACCUUUGACCACGGACCAGGGCAUAUUCCCCGCCCGGGAAUCCUUGGCUUCGCUGGAGGGGAGAUCCGGAAUCGUUUAGUUUUCUUGUUUCGUGGGUGCCGGCUGGCGCAAACGGGAGGAGUGAGGAACACUUGACAAACACAAUGUCAAAUCCAGAUUGAAUACCAAUUUGGCGAAUAUCCCCCCAAUCUCCAUAUUUGUAAAGUAGAGAAGCGAGAGAUUUGUUUGGCGCCGGGAUCAUGAUCAUAUGCCAAGAUCUCUGCGCAAAUCUUUCCAACAGUGCCAAGGUCAUGCUCAUGCGCAACAAUUGGAGCGAGUCGAGAAGAGACACUCCGCAGCCGUGAUUUUUGUAUGGAUUCUUCGUGACGAAAGUGGGGUCAAAUGGGUUUUGUAUUGUUAUGCUUGGGCCACAUUGACCAGCUCUCUAAUUUCCGCCACGCACAACCAUAUCCCAAAUCUUUGAAAAAACAAAAGCGAAAAGGCAAAAUCUUUGCGCAACAAAAGGUGGCGGACCAAACUAGACAUCUAAAUUUUUCUAAGCUUCUCGUUUCCGAUCAUACAGCUUAGGUACCUGCCUAGUGUUUGAAGCCAGGCGAAAAUCAAUCAAUGUAACUCCCGGCUUUUCACUUUUGACCGCGCGGUAAGAAACCGUGUUUUUACCCAGUCGUGGUGGACGAGAUUCGCCAGGAUCUCGCCGGAGGUUGUUUGCCGGCGCCGGGACCUCAGCAAAUCCGCCAAAGAUUUUAUAGCGCCCAGCAAAUAAUUUAAAAACCAUGGAAAUUUCAGCGAAUCAUAUCUCCAUCCUGGGGGCUCGUCAAUCUGACAGAGCCAAACCGACGACCGACGGCUGCGGUCACGACACGUGUCAGAGGAGCGUUUACCGGACAGAAUACGUCAGUCUAAUCAGUCAGUGUGAUGGCUUUGCUUUGGCAUUCAUUCGUUUGUUUGUUCAUUCUUUCUUCUCUUUUCUCUCGCGUCGCAUCGACAGCUCCUCAUCUACGGCGUCAAGGAUUCCAUCGAUCGAUCGAUCCAUCCGCCAGGUCGUCAAUCGCGCGGCGCUCGCGGCAGUCGCGGCGCGGCUCGAUCGGCGGCACGGAAAGAGGUAUGUGGAUUUGGGCGAAAUCGCGGAGAUUUUCUGGCAUGGGAAGCGGCAGCAAGGGCGGGAUCGAAGCGGAAGAAGCUGCCUGUGAUGCGUGACGCAAUGCUCGCGCGGAGCAUUGGAGCUCUCCUCUCCAUCGCCGAUGAUGUCCUGUCGAGCCUGGUGGAUUAUCGGAGCAGCAAUCGUCUAGGAUUGGAAUUGGAGCAGGGAGGAGGAGGAGCGAUCCAUAAUCUGGCCAGGGCGGGUGUAAUGCAGGAGGGAUCGCCGAGUCCGGCCGUGGAGACAGGGAAGCUCUUCAAGGAGGUAUCCAGGGCAUUUAGCGGUAGCAACCAAAAGGAUGAAUUCCUGGUCGCGUCCACCACUAGCACGACGAGCAGCUCCUCGUCGCCUCAUGCAUUGCUCGCGUCCAGCGCGCAGCAGCUCAAGCACAGAUUCAAGACGUCACACAAGAGAUCUCGCCUCGAGGAGCUCCUCAUCGAGUCCACGCACUCGGAGAAAUUGGGAUCGUCUCACACGGCGCUCCCAGGGUCAGGGACAGGGACAGGGCUGGACAAGCUAGUCGUGACUUUGGCACUGCUUUUAUCCUCGGCCAUCUUGCUCGUGUGGUACUUGACGCCGGCCGCGGUACUGGUUUGGGCCGUCCCGGCAGCGAUGGUGUCACUGGCGAUUUGGACGAGAUUUGUUCGCUGCGAUCCGCCGAGUUCCAGGGAGAUUUGCGUGCAAGGGCAGUGUUCCGGGUGUAGAGUAGUGAGCCAGGACAAGCAAGAGGAGGAGGAGCAGCAGCUGGCCCAGCGAGCUCAUCGUGCCAAGCAACAAUUCAUGGCUUAUGUGUUCCAUAACAUAAGAGGUGAGUUCGUUGCUAGGCUAGAAGUUUCUUUUUCUUUCGCUCUUCCGUAUAGAUGGUGCGAGAACUAUUUCGUGAUUUUCUGACGUACCUUUGGCUUCUCCGUGCAGUCCCUUUCAAUGCGAUCGUCCUGGGAUUGGGUCACAUGCGUGCUUCAGCGUCCGGGGAUGACUCCAGUUCCGGGGAGCUAGACUUGGUGCAACUAAUGCUAGACUGCGCCGAGACAAUGACAAACGUGCUUGAUGAUGUUACUGAUAUGGGUAAGGUGUCCAUGUCUCGACUCGAGUCUCGACUUUUACUUAUGAUUGUUCUCGACAUAACUAACGAAUGAUCGGUCAUCCACAGGAAACUGGGAGGAGGGGCGCAUUGAGCUUCACCGAGAUGUGUUCGACUUACUGGCGGUGGUGAAGUUCCUGGCGUGGGGUUUGAAAGAUUUGCUCGAGCAGAAACAAAUAUCUCUCAACAUUGAUAUCGAUCCGGUCGCCAGCAAGAUUUUGAAGUCCCACAACAUUGUCGGUGACAAGCACCGGACUGUACAGACGCUAGGUAAUCAAACUCCUCCACGUCUGACUCUCACUCACGCUCUGCGCAAGCAGGCAAUUUUCUCAGUAAUGCCGUCAAGUUCACGCCUACCGGGGGAAAGCUCGACCUGGAGAUCAAGUGUCAAGAGCUCGACGGGGUCCCGGUCUCAAACUCCAAAGGCUUUGAGACCGACGAGUUAGAGCACAAGUCCCUGGAGCUCUUUAUUGCCGUCAAUGACUCUGGCGCAGGUAACGUUUCUUUCUUCGCGAUCGCGAUGCUUUGUUUUGUUCUGACUUGAAAGUCUGGUGCUCGGACAGGAAUUUCCUUAGAUGACCAAGACAGACUCUUCGAAGCGGACUCUUUCAUAUCGUCUCCUUGGGUCCAGAAAGCUGGUGUUUCCGGCCUGGGCUUAAGUGUUGCGAAACGCUUCAUCGAACAGAUUGGUGGUCAGAUCGGGGUACGCUCGCGGGACCAAGGAAGUACGUUCUUCUUCUCCGCUCCAUUUCUGCUGGUUCCGAUACAAAAGCGCACGAACUCGUCAGUCCCGGCCUCUGGGAUCUUCUAUAACAUGAGGUCUACAGACUCCGUAAGCAAAGAGAAGCGAAAGUUGGAACGCCUCAGUGACCUUGACGCCCAACUCAAGUGUUCGCCGGGUGCUGUGCUGCCACAAGACGCCUCUCCGUGCAGGAGAAAGGUGCUGCUAGUGGAAGACACGCGGAUAAACAGAGUAAGUCUCGUCUUUGGCUAUAUCGGUGCGCAUUUUACUUACCAUCAUCUUGGCUGUACGUACAGAUUAUCUUGCGGAAGGUUCUUCAGAACCUCAAUCUCCAAUGCGACGAGGCAGAGAACGGCCAGAUUGCUGUCGACCUGCACAGGCAGGGCAAGUCCUACGAUCUGGUGUUGAUGGACAAGGAAAUGCCUGUCAUGGACGGACACGAGGUAAGAGUUCUUAGAACUGAGUUUUCCUUUCUCUCCAAAGUAUGCUAACGUAAGUUCCUGGCAGGCAACUAGAGCUCUGAGGAUGAUGGGUGUGAAGACUCCAAUCGUGGCCUUAACUGGCAAUGCUUUGCAGUCGGACAAGGAGCUCUUUUUCGAAGCCGGGGUGAAUGAGUUUCAAACAAAGGUAUGGAAGGAAACGUAAAUGCUCGUGGACAGACAGGAGUGCUGAUGCUCUCGCUUUUGCCGUGGCAGCCUUUGUCUAGAGACAAACUUAUCCAGCUCCUGGCAAGAUACGGAGUUGAGAGCUCAUCGCCACCGGUGGCUUUGCAACUUUGUCGCGAGUAAGCUGCCCAGCGACGAGCGAUCAAGGAGCGACAACAUACAGAGUUUUCAAGGGAUUGUCUUUUUGGCGGGACAGGCAAGCCCGGUUGGGAAAUUUGUAUAGACUCACUCUAUUAUGUACAGCUUUUUAGUGGAGCAUAGGAAUCAAAGAGAGGGACGAGAGAAAAGAAAGAUAGAAAGAGAGAAGAAGAAAAAAACCAUGGAAGCUCCAUUCAGCUGAAACAAAUGGAAAGAAGGAACUUAGAAUUUUUCAGUGCGCUAUGUCUGGAAAGGAAGAUCUUGGAGCUGUUUCAAUACAUCCCGGCUCUGAGAUGGCGGUCAAGUCUCUCGGCAUUGAAAGUUCCCGGAAUCUCGUGAAAAUCAUCGUUGAAGAUUGAGUAGGCACUGCACGGCACGUAUCCUUGUGAUCUGGAAUGGAAUGGAAGAAGUCUUCGUACCUGAUGUCGCCCUCUUGCCGCUUUCCCAGAUUCCAAACGAUGAGACAAAAGAUCGUUGCGAUUAUCUGCGACAGUGGUGUUAGUAGUAAAGAACACACAAAACAGCACUGUUUCUUACGUAGAGAUGGCCCAAGUCCCACGAAAUGGCGUAGCCAGCGACGAUGAGCCAGAGCAGGACCAUCAUCCAUCUUCUGAAACCAAAAGAGAAGAUGAUCAUCAGCACGAAGUCUGCUCAGAGAAAAAAUCACACCAGUGUCCAUGCUCACGCUUGAUGUAUGAUAAAAAAGGACAAGCUACCUGGAAACUUGAGCUUGUGCUUCAAGAACUGUACGAGUCUUCUCUCGAGCGGGGAUGCGGUCGCGGGAAGCUUGAAUCUCUGGACACACACAAAACACACUUAAAACCAACAAGAAGAUUGCUCAAAGGAAAAAAAACAAGAAAAACUCUCGUACCAAGUCAUCAUCCUCGUCUUCGUUUUUGCUCUGCGAGUGCACCGAAGGCGCCUUGGGUGGAAGAAGCACCAGCAACGAGUCUAAAAGGAAGAAGAAGAAGAAAAAAACGAUGAAUUCCACUCAAGAAAGAAACAAGAGUUAAAAAAUGUCCAUAGUCUCACCUCCAGCUCGAAUGUCGACAGUGGAGUAAUCAUCAGCAGCACCGAGAGCCUUGCCUCUAAACACGAGCUUCAGUCGAUUCACUUGAGAAUCCUCCACUAGGCCAAGCUCCUGGCUCACCAAUCUCCGCAACACACCGAUCUAGUAGAAAUCCCGCUCAUCAAUCGGAUCGAUUGGAUCAAUCGAUCGGCCACUCACCUCGCAUAGCGGCUCCACCUGGAUCACCCGGCGCCGCCGCGCGAAUCCAGCGACCUUGAGCUCCAGCGGCACCAUCCCCGGCGAGAAACCCUAGAGGUAGCGCUUUCGAAAUUUCCCGUUUAACGGGGGGGCUUUGUUCUUGGCUCUAUUUCAUUGCUCCAGCCAAAAUGGGAAGAGCUACUGCGUGAGCGAUGAAGGAUUCCGCCAAAAGGUUUCUCCUCCUCCCUUUCUCCGGCCUCCUGCCAUCGUCAAUCUGCGUCCUCCUCGCCGCCGCGCUCGUCUUCUUGGCAGCUCUCACGAUCCCAAACCUGGGACUGGGAUUCUCACCGCCGCUGGAGCUCCUCCUCAUCCAUCCCUACGCGCCGAUCGCUCAAUCGCCUGGGAAUCUCUCCACCGCCGCGCCACCGAGCGAUCCAGGUAGCCGAUCGGUGCCAAAUCUUGCUCAAAAUAUUUCGGUGCCAGCUCGAGGAGGAGGAGGAAGAGGAGGAGGAGGAGGAGGAGGGGAUUCCAUCGAUCGCGAGGCGCGAGUGUGCGAUCUCUACACAGGCAAGUGGAUGCCGGAUCCGCGCGGUCCCCUGUACCGCAACGAUGCGUGCCCCAUUCUUUCGCAGGCACAGAACUGUCAAGGGAAUGGAAGGCCGGACAGAGAUUACGAGUCUUGGAGAUGGGUGCCCGAUGGCUGCGGCCUUGCGCGCUUCAACGCCACCGAGUUCUUGCGCAUCAUGCGAGGCAAGGUCCUGGGAUUCGUGGGCGAUUCCGUGGCCAGGAACCAGAUGGAAUCGCUCAUGUGUAUCCUAAUGCAGGUAAGAGGAUCGUUCUAGCUCUUCUUGCUUCUCGCUUUCCUGGAUUGAUCUAGCUAGUUCUCAUUUGCUUGCUCUCCUAGGUAGCCAGUCUCGAUCGCGAUCAAUGUAGGUACUCUUUUUCCUGAUCGGAGUAGUAGAUGCUAGAUGGUUUUUUUUCCUCUCUUUCUCUCGAUCGCGGACUAACUGUGAGCUUCGAUUACCACACCAGGUGGAGAACCCCGUGAACAAAGGCAAUAAGAGGAUGCAACGCUGGUUUUUCCGCUCGAGCAAGGUCACCAUCGUCCGGAUCUGGUCGUCAUGGCUGGUGAAAUCCACACCCGGCGACGCCUCGGUGAAGAGCGCAACGAGAAUUCACAUCGAUCAACCCGACGCCAACUUCAUGGACUUCCUUCCCAGCGUGGACGUGCUCGUCAUCUCGUCCGGCCACUGGUUCGUGAAGAAGUCGGCGUUCAUGCGGGGUGGCCAGGUGGUGGGAACUCAGGGGUGGCACAGGCCGAACGCGACCAUGACCACCAGCAAAGCCUUCGCAGCGUCCAUGACCACGGCCCUCACCGCCAUCGCCGCCAGCCGGAACUACAAGGGACUCACGGUUUUUCGGACGUUCUCGCCGGAUCACUACAUCGGGGGGUCGUGGAACACGGGAGGGUCGUGCACGGGGAUCACGAAGCCUCUCACGGACAACGAGGUGAAAAGGAUUGGCAGCAGCGUCUUCACGAGCGAGAUGAGGCGGAUCCAACUCGAGGCGUUCGCGGAGGCGAAGAGGAACGCGAGCGGAGGAGGAGCCAGGCUCGUGCUCAUGGACGUGACUCGGGUGUUUGAGUACCGGGCAGACGGGCACCCGGGAUCGUUUCGAAGCAAAGAUCCCAGCGGCAAGGUGGCGGCGCAGGACUGUCUCCACUGGUGCAUGCCUGGACCUGUCGAUACGUGGAACGAGUUUUUGCUCCACAUCAUCGUCACGCACAAGAUCAACACGGCGGCUUGAUCCAUCAUCCAUUCUUUCGGGAAGCUCUCCAAUCCAUCUGUAAGUUUUGAUUCUUUGCAAGGGAAAGAAAGUUGCUACGAGACGAUGCUGGCGAGCAUCAUGUAAGGUGCUGAAUUCCCCGGCUCUAGCUCCGAUGCGUUCUCGGCUGCUCGAGCUGCGAGCUCGGCCUCGCGGUGGAGCUUGCAAGCGCUGAGCAUCGUCUUCCACGAGACGGCCUCGGGAAGAAAAGGCAUGGUUUCUACGAGCUCCUGUGCGUCGUCAAGCCGGCCCGAUCGACCGAGAGCGUCCACCAUGCAUCGAUACUGCUCCCUCGUCGCCUCGAUUCCAUAGUCGCUCGCCAUGGACAGGAAGAAGCUCCGGCUCUCCUCCACCAUUCCCAAGUGGCUGCGCGCUGCCAGGACGAUCGUGGCUGCGACCUCGUCGAUCUCCCAGCCUUCGUGGCUCAUGAUCUGGAAGAAGCCCAUUGCCCUCUUCCUAUCGACGCUGUAGCCAGUGAGCAUUGCGUUCCAGGAGAUGGUGUCGCGAGCAGGCAUUGUGUCGAAGAUCCAACGCGCUUCGUCCAGAUGCCCCUUUUGGGCAUUCACUGCGAUCAUGGCGUUCCAGGCUAUAAGAUCUGUGGCUGGCAUUUUCUGGAAGAGAUCUCUAGCCUCGACAAGCUUCUCGUGGCGAGCGUAUCCAGUGACCAUGAUAUUCCAAGCUAGAAUGUCCCUGAACUCCAUCGAAUCGAAGAGUUUUCUGGAUUCUAGCAAAUGCCCUCUCUCGGCAUAUGCAGAGAUCAUCAAAGUCUGGAUCACAACGUCCAAAUGCUGCAUCGAAUCCAUAAUGUUUUGAGCCUCCUCGAGAAUCCCGUGCUGGACGUAGCAUUUGAUCAUCUCGGUUUGCGAGAGCAUGUCGUGCUCGUCGCGCUGGAUGGAAUCGAAGACCAGCUUUGCUUGCUGGAUCAUCCCGGCUUGCGAGUAGGCCGCGAUCAUCAGGGUCUUAGCAAUCACGUCCCUCUCGGGCAUCGCAUCAAACGCCUCCUUGGCGUCGGCGAGGCUGCCAUCGCGGACAAGGGCGUGGAAGAGGGCAUUCCACGUCACCGUGUGUCGCUGUGGCAUUUUUGCAAAGACAAGCCUGGCUGUGCCGAGGUGGCUCGCCGCGUCAGCUAGCGCUUGAAAGAGAGCCGUCCACGUCACUACGUUUCUCUCCGGCAUGGAGUCAAACUCCUGCUUGGCCUCGUCCAGGUGACCGUUGGCGGCCAGUCCCGACAUGAGGCUCGUCCAUGUCACUAUGCUUACGAGAGGCAUCUUGUGGAACGUGGCGCGGGCACCAGCCAGCUGUCCCUCUCGUGCGUAGCCAAAGAGUAUAAUAUUCCACGUCACUAAGCCACGUCCGCGUGGCAUCUCAUCGAACAAGCUUUUAGCACGAUCAAAAUGACCAGACUGGGCAUAUGCUGAGAUCAUAGUGUUCCAAGAACGCUCAUUGUAACAAUCUAGACUGUCAUACGAAUAAUUGCCAUAAGUUGUUAGGGCACUGGAGUUAGAGCUAGUGAUAUGAUCUGAUAUGGACCUUUGGCCUUUCUCAAGCAAAACGUUGAAGAGUUUUUCGGCUUCCUCAAGAUGCCCAGCUUGGGCAUUUGCUGAGAGAAAAGCGUUCCACACGACUGUGUCGUGUUGUGGCAUUCUAAAGAAUGUGGCAGUGGCGGAAACAAGGUCUCGGUUCUCUGAGAAUGACUGAAGCAAGAUGUUCCAGGAAUAAGAAUUGCGUUGCGGGGUGGACUCGAAAACUUGGAAUGCCUCCGCUGGGCGAUUGCAGCGUCCAUACAUGAGGACGAGGAGAUUGGCGAGGAAGGUGUUGGAGCUGUGGCGGCUGUGGAUGAUAGCGGCGUGGGCUUCUCUCCCGCGCAAGAGAUCCCGGGCAUCGAUGCAGCUCCUCACUGCCUGGGCGAGUCGAUCCUUCUCGCCCACCAUGGUGGAGAUUAAAAAAAACGAGCAGAGAAUAUGCGACGCAUCGCUCUGGGCCUAGGUUUUGGUUUUGAUGCGUGGCGGAGCUGGGAGGUGGAGCGUCUGGAAUGCAGGGCAUGCUGCGCCACGAUCUUCUCGCCGGCACUGAUGUCACAACAGCUGCUCCUGGCGAUUUCCUCCAUUUCAAGGCUCACGUCCCUCUGCGACAUAUCUGGGUACGCAAUCGAUCGAUCACUCCAUCCCUAUUCAUCCAUGAUUCUCGAUCGAAAUCUCCUCUCACAGGUGGGAAACAAGCACUGGCGGUACUACCAGUCGGGACCAAAGCUCUUGCCGCCUUUGGUGUGCCUGGGAGGGACUUCCUCCACUGCCGAGGUCUUCUACAAGAUUAUUCUCUCCCUCUCCGCCAAGGUAUUGCUCUUCCUUCGUUCUUCUUCCUUUUGUUCAUGCAUUUUGUUGUUUAGAGACGUUGUAAACGUAUUUUUCGAUUCUUCUUUCAGGGCUAUCACGUAAUUGCUGCUGAUGCUCCUCCCGUGUGGAGUCACCAGGAAUGGAUCGCUUCGUUCGAGAAGUUUUUGGAUCAAAUUGGUGCACACCAUGUAAGUAUGAUACAAGGUGUGCUUCCGGAAUUUUUCUAAUGUUUCUCUCUUUGGUUUUUGUUAAGGUUCACUUGUAUGGUACUUCUCUCGGUGGGUAUUUGUCGCAGCUAUUUGCUCAGCAGCGUCCGAGGAGAGUAAAAUCGCUACUUCUCUCAAAUACGUUCUUGGAAACACACACUUUUGCUUCAAAAACUUCUUGGAAACCAUUGUGAGUAAGAACUUUCUGCUGUUUUUGAUCAAAGACUUCGCUUCUUACAGGAUAAGUUGGACGCCCGAGUUCAUGCUAAAGCGAUACAUCCUCUCAGGAAUUCAUGAGGGGCCGCAAGAACCUCUCAUUGCCGAUUCAAUAGAUUUCGUGGUCUCCCAGGUAUGUGCCUCAUUUUGAGGAACUUCAUAUCCUACGUUUCGAUUCCCGACAGUUCGAGACCCUUUCCCGCGAAGAUCUCGCAUCACGCUUGACACUCAACACGUCUCCUGCUGCAGUAGGCCAGAUCACACUCCCGGACUCGUGCAUCACCAUCAUGGACGUAAGCAUUCCCGCCUUUCGAGACAUUUACUAAAGCUUAACUUACAGACGAAUGACUACUGUGCCAUCCCGCAGUCUCUCAAGGACCAAGUGGCUGCCAGAUAUCCCACCGCCCGAAGAGCCAUGCUAAAGUCCGGUGGAGAUUUCCCCUUCCUCUCUCGAGCAGCCGAAGUUUCACUUCACGUACAGGUAGCAGCGAUCUCGUCUUUUCCCCUGAUCCUCGUAACUUUGCCUCGCAGCUCCAUUUGAGGAGAGUGGGAGUGGAAGGCGUUCCCGACGCUCGUCCAAUCCCAUCCCCUGGGAGUGGUGGAAGCGGGGACUCCGCCGGCGACGAUCAAUACCAAGGCCGGAGCCCCGACGGAGACCGAAGCUCUGCCGCGAGAGACGAGCCAUCUUCGAGCAGUCCAGCAGCCACCGACCGGAGCUUCUCUCCAAACGCCACGGACUCGUUCAAGCGACUCGGUCUCGCAAAUCACCUCCAGGCCGACUUGCAAAUCUCUCACCUCUUUUCUUUGCUGUGUUUGUUAGCCGCUGUACAAGAAUUUUGGUUUUGUUCGCCAGUAGCUACUUGUCCGAGCUUGAAAGUUUGAUCGUUUUCUUUGUUCUUGUAAUUUACAACCACCUUUUUUUUCUACCAAUCACAAGUUGGUUUUAGUAACCCUACCACCUUUUUUUCAUGCGUACCUACCUUUAUCCUGCCACCUUUUUUUCAUGCGUACCUAUCUUUACCCUACCACCUUUUUGCCCAAGCCCUACCACCUUUUUACCACCUUUUUAUGACACGAAACGUGCCCUUUGUCGCAACGCUAUGACAUUGCACAUGUUAAAGAGCGUGGAAAGUUUCAAUACUCAAUCAAAUCCGUGUUGUGCACUACUUGCAAAAUUCUUUCCUCAUCGUCAAGUGACGUUACAAUGGAAAAUCGUUGUUAAAAAAGAAUACUCGCGUGUCGGGUUAGCGGCCAAGACUUGGAAGAAUAGGAGGGAACGCGACGAUUUCCCGUCAACACCAAACCGUUGGAAUUGCUGGUGGCGGUGUUCUUGAGCUAGAUCUCUGCUGUUCUUCCACCAGAUUCAAGGCCUGGAGCAGCUUGGGCCAGCUCUCGCUCACGCCCCCGCGAACAUCAAAAUUGACCAGCUUCCCCUGCUUGCGGUAGAAAUCCUCCACUGGUUUGCUCUCCUCGUCGUAAACCUGGAGCCUCUUCUGGAUGCUCUGCUCGGAAUCGUCCUUCCUCGUCACCAUCUUGUCCAGGCACUGGAUCGGCGGAGGAAUCGCUGGCAUCCUCAGAUCGCCCACUGAAACAUCGGCCAUGCUGAACACUCGCCCACACUCUCCACACACCCUCCGGCCCAGGCACUUCUGGAUCAACACCUCGCGCUCCUGGGCGAAGUUCACAGCUACGUGAACGUCCGCUAUCUUGUCUAGCACGAUCGCCUGGUUCACCGUCCUGGGGAAUCCGUCCAGGAUGAAUCCCUUGUCGCCCCUGGCAGCCCCCGCCUGGAGCCGCGAGUGGAGCAAUUCGAACACCUCCUCGUCGCCCAGGAGCUUCCCCUUGCUCACAACCUCGGCGAUGCGCCGGGACAUGGAGCUCACCUUCUUCAUCUCCUCGCGGAUCAAAUCGCCAGUGGAGAUGUGAGGAACGUCGAGCAGCGCCGCGAGCUUGAUCCCAAACGUCCCCUUGCCGGCUCCCGGCCUCCCCAGCAACACCAAAUUGAGCUCUCGCUGCUUCCGCGGCUCCUCCUCCAUCGCCUUGCAAAUCUCCGGCAUCAAACCUUGGUGGUGAUCCUCCUGCGAGAUCGGUGGCAGUGGAAGCGGAUCCACGAUCGUCUUCUUCUUCUGGCAGUGGCCCAUCCCGGACAACCUGUUAGCUAUCCCAGAGAUCUGGGGCAUUGCUCGUCUCCCUGCUAGCGCCAUUGUGUCUCUUCCUUUUCCGAUUAGGCCACAAGAAAGCCCUCUCUCUCAUAUACACGGAAAAAGGGCAGUAAAGGAAUAUCCCGCGUGGCUUGACCGGUCAACAGUCGGCGGGGGGUCAACCAUCAUUCGCGGUCAAAAGCGCGCGCGUGGAAGAGAAACGUGGAAAGUGCUUUUACCACUAGAAGUUACCAGUGACGUCGUAGUCUCACCCACGCCACGGCACCGACCACCGCGCCGCCCAGAUGGCCUACGUGGCUUAUGGUGGAUGCCACCUGGCAAGCAGACAAACAAGCAAGCCAUUAGAGAACGCUUCCCAAAACUUUGGAAGAAACCACGCAAGAGAACUUACAUCGGAAACUCCCCACAAAUCCUUGAGGAUCAUGUAAGCUCCCUGUGGAGUGAGCGAUCGCGUCAAAUUCUCACAGCAUUGGAAUGGGAAAAACAAAAACUUAGGAAAGAUCGAUCGCUUACAAACAGGGCAGCUGGGACUGGGAAGAGGAAAUCGACCAAGAUGACGCGCGUUGGAUUGAGCAUGAUGUUGAGGACCACCAGCGCGUUGAUGGCUCCACUGGCGCCCUGUGGAAAAAACGUGUCGCGCAUCAAACAGCACGCGAGAGAUAGAGGAAGAUCACGCUUUUCUCUCGACUCACCAGCGCUGGUGGGACAAAUCGGGCCACAAAGGUGCUGUGACGAAGCCCCUGGGAAAACCAAAAAAUGUGAAUGACGAUACGAGGAUCCAGAAGAAGAAUCGCUGCGCUUUUAUCGAACCUUGAGCCAGGGAUAGAUGUAAUAGCUAUAAGCCAAGUGUCCGAAGGAGCUAACGAGGCCACCCGCAAAGUAGAUCAUGUAGAGCCUUUUGCUGCCGAAUCUAUAAGCGAUCUGCGAAGCGGAGUGAGCACGCGAGAGAGAGCGAAGAUCCGGAUCGAAAGAGAACAGGAGAGAUCACAAGACCUCGGUGCCAAAAAAGUAUAGGCCGAGUAAGUUGGAUGCCAAGUGCCAGAACUCGUUGUGGCUGAAGAAGUUUGUGACGAGAGUGUGGAGUCGGCCACUCAACACGUUGUGCAUGGAGAUCUGAGUGUCACAAUUGUCACGAGAGAAUUUCUAGCAAAAGAAAAAGAGAGAAAGAAACCGACCGUGAAAUGCUCGGUCAUGAAAACCGGGUCGAAAACCUUCCACAGGAAGAACACCGAAACGUUGGCACCGAUCAAAGUCCACAAAGCAACAUCGGGUCGAGCGUAUCCUCCACCCCUGAUAGAGUUCCAAGAAAAAUAAACAUCACCCUCGAAGAAGAUCAUAGAAGAUCAUAGCAUAGGAAAAAAACGAUCUUUGUUACCCUGGCAAGCGGCCGAGGCUGGAGUAUCUCCAGCGCUGCGAGAAGCGAUUCACAAGCCGGUUCCAUUCUCGCACGGCGGGCUGCAACUCGGCUGGGAUCUUGAGCUUGCUUCCCUGGAAACUUGUCCGAAACUGGCUGCUGCUCGUCCGCGUCGCGUGAAUCCAGCAAGUGAGAGGCCGCCAUUCGGUGCUCGUGGCGAUCUUUGAUGUGCCCAAGAAACCACUCACGCUCGUCUUACCAGCGGUCGCACAGAUUCUGCGCACUGCCGCCAUUUCCACCCUAAACGAAGACCAAGCUUUUGGAAUUCCAGGAAACCUUUGUAUUGUUUUGCAGUCUCGAGAGAACGAGAGUUCGCUCCAAAUUCCACCAUUUCGUUUCCUCUCCCGCGGAAUUGGAGAGCGAAAAGAAUCUGAAAGGUUGGCACCGAUUAGAAAAACUGGCUUUUUGGUUCGAGGAAGCCUCACACGCUAUGAGAUAGAUCGAGAGAUGUCCGCUGUUCCUUCCAGAAACUUAGAUUUUGGAGAGAAGAACAAUGCAAGUGGAGAACUUCUUGUGCUGGAUCAUUGCUUUCGAAUUCGCGCUUUUUAUUUACAUCGAUUUGGCGAAGAACAUCAUGGGAGGAUUGGAUUCGUGUUGUUGGUGGAGUGGCAUUGGAUUUGGAGUGACGAGACGAGGAGCUUGUGUGUUUUCCUAGCCCUGAUCGCUUCGCGUCCCAGUGUUCGUGGAGGCCGAUCUUCUCCUGUGCCUUCCGCGUCUACGCCUCUGCGAAAAAAGAGAUUUUUGAGUCAAGUUCCACUGGACGAUUGGGUGAUCUUACUCCUCGCCCUCGGCGCCGCCUCCGCCGGCGCAUCAAAGAGGGGCUUGUCGACGCUGUUCUUGCGGGUCGCACCAUUUCUCCUGUCCUCCCAAACUCUAGCAAUGCUUCGCCAUAGUUUUCUCCAGCAAUGUAUAUCCCCGGAACAGCCGCGACCCUUGGAUCUGCCACGUCACUGAUUAGAUCAGCCACGUCAGCGAUCCCCGGAACAAAACCCUAGGCUCGUACGGAGCUUAUUAACUGGAGUUUUAAACUCUUUUGGGCGAGGGAGGAGCGAGGAAUAGAUUCGGCAUGGGGAGCGCGCGGCGGCCCAAGAAUCCCAUCCAGGCGCUCGUCUGGAGGAUCCAGCGCCAGAAUCCCCGCGUCAAGGCCGCGCUCCUGGCGCUGGCGGCAGUGAUUGGGAUCGUCUUCCUCAGGUAUGUCGUCAAGGAUCACGACACCCUCUUCGUCGCCUCCGAGUGCGUCCACGCCCUGGGGAUCGUCAUUCUCAUCUACAAGCUCCAGAAGGAGAAGAAUUGCGCCGGUAAGGAUCCAUGGAGCGAUCGAUCGAUUCGAUCGCUCAUUAGCUACAGCUAGGGCCGCGUCAAAUCACUUAAAUAACUUUCUUACAAGUGUGUGUUUCUCGUGUUUCUUAGGUGUGUCUUUGCGAUCGCAGGAGCUUACAGCGAUUUUUCUUCUCGUCCGGCUCUACUGCUCCACUUUCAUGGAGCAAAACAUCCACACUUUCCUCGACACGGCCACGCUCCUCGUCACGGCCUGGGUGAUUUAUAUGAUCCGGACCAAUCUCAAGGCAACUUAUGUCCAGGAACUCGAUAACAUGCCACUCUACUAUGUGGUAAGCUUUGUUUUUCUCGUCCGGGACUUGAGUUCUAUCACUCCUUUUUGGUUUUCCUUUCAGCUGGCUCCAUGCGCAGUGCUCGCUAUCCUGGUUCAUCCUCUCAUCCGGUACCACCUUAUCAACAGAGUUUUGUGGGCGUUUUGUGUGUAUUUGGAGGCCGUCUCCGUGCUGCCUCAGCUUCGGGUGAUGCAAAAGGCUAAGGUAGGCCAAUUCUCUAUGUUUCUUCGCUCACUUAUCUUGGAUUUGAUCCACAGCUUAUAGAACCCUUUACUGCGCUCUACGUUUUCGCCCUUGGGGUUGCAAGAUUUAUCAACUGUGCGCAUUGGCUGCUCCAGGUAUGAAUCUCAUUGCAAGACAAGAGGAAGGUCAUGUAAAAAAACGCAUUUUUCUUCUCCUUUUGCAGCUGAUAGAUGGACGUGGCUACCUCUUCUACACGCUGGGAACGCAGCUCAAACACCGGAGCUUGAUUCCUUAUGGCUUGUGGCCUGCCAUGGUUGUGGUCGCCGAGAUUGUCCAGACAUUCAUCCUUGCCGAUUUCUGCUACUACUACGUAAAGAGGUAUGGAUCAAAAGAAGAAAAAAGCCAUUUUUUCCAUGAAAUUUACGAUUUCUUUGUUUGUGACAGUGUGGCGGAGGGCCAGAUGAUGAUCCGGUUGCCUUCAAGUGUCUAGAAUUUCAUUUGGUUGUACAAGUCUUUUCUCCUCCUUUAAACUUUCUUAAGUUAACUUAAAAUGGCCGAUUAAAAGAGUACCUUUAGGGCUAGCUAGCUAGGGCAAUUUGGAUUGAGCGCCAUGGAAGACAAGCAGCUGUUGCUGGCGCAGUUCAUGGAGGUGGUAGGCGAGCCUGCCGAUCGCUGCCACCAGUUCCUCGAGGUUUGAUCCCUCCCUGAUCGCUCUUCUUGAAGGAAAUGCCGAGUGAUUUUGUGUAGGCGACGAACUGGCAGCUCGAGGAAGCGAUUCAGCUCUUUUUCGCUGGCGGAGGUGUCGAGAUUGGAGCUCCGCCUUUAGCAGCGGAGCCCCCGCCAAUGAGCAAGCCUGUCCAUGCGGAGCCACCUCCAGUAGUGCUCCCUUCUCCAAGGUGAGAGUUUUCCUUCGUUCUUUCUCGUUCCUGGAUGAAAAGAAAGGAUUUUUUUCCUCUCAGUGGGGGAGAUGACUACGUUCGUCCACCACUGCCUGUGAAACGCGAGGCCUUGUACGAGGAUAUCUUCCAAUACAGGUAAGAAAACGAAGAUCACCAUCUCCUUUUCUCAUUCUCUUUGGAUGGUUUUCCAGAGCACAAAGAAGGGCGCAAGCAGGUCCCGUCCAGCCGACUCCUGUGGAUGCUUUCCGGAACUUCGAGGACGAGUUUAACUCCAGAAUCGCCAAGCCCUCCCCUGGGAGCUCUCCCGUGGGUGCCAAAGCUCCAACGCUUGCGUCCCUGUACCGUCCGCCACUGGAGCUCAACUUCGAGGGAAGCUUCGAACAGGUACGAAGGACGCCACUUUUCCCAGACGAGACCAUCUUUCUCCGCAUGUUUAGGCGAAAGCAGAAGCAGCCAAGCAAGGAAAAUGGUUGCUCAUCAACUUGCAAUCCCAUACAGAGUUUGCGAGUCAUAUGGUAUGAUUAUAGCUCCACAAGUAAGCUUGCAAACUGUGUUUUCUCAUCUACGAGCUGAUGCUUUCUGUGUAGCUGAACAGAGACACCUGGGCACACGAGGCCGUCAAGGACACGGUGAGGAUAACCUUCGUCUUCUGGCAGGUAUUUGUGAUGUUUGAUAGCAUUCGUGGCCUCACUUCUUCUUUGCUGGUUUUAGAUCUACGAUGACACCGAGGAAGGAAAGAAGGUGUGCACGUACUACCGCUUGAAUACCAUGCCUACCAUUCUGGUGCUGGAUCCUUUAACUGGCCAGAAGAUGAGAUCCUGGGAGGGUAUGGUAGGCGCGGAGAGACUGCUCGAGGUAUAUGUUUUAUUCACCACUUUCUAUAGAGAGUUUUCUAUAGAGACUUACAACACUUUCAGGAUCUUGUCCAAUUCAUGGAUAGAGGUCCCAUGGAGAACCACACUCAAAAGCGACCACGAGAUGUGGAACAACAGCAACAGCAACAGCAACAGCAGCAGCAGCAGCAGCAACCACAACAGCAGCUGGAUCAAGGUAGAGCUCGACGCUGAGUUGCCAGCAAUCUUUUCACUUUGUUCUUGGCAGGCCCGGCUGAUACCGACGAAGACAAGGAACUCCAGCGGGCCUUGGCAGCUUCGUUGGAGAGCCAAACCGAGCCUUCUUCGGCGGCGGAGCAUGUCAAGGCCCGCGGCAGCAAGCAUCCAGCGCUGCCGGACGAGCCCAAGCCCGAAGAGCCAGAAACUUGCCGCGUUGGAGUGCGUUUUCCCGAUGGCAAGAGGGGCCAGCGGAGGUACUUUCGAUCCGAUCCACUAACUGUAAGUGGAAAACCAGCGAUGUUCUUCCUUUCUCGCUUCUCAUGUUGGUCGUAUCGUGUAUGAGCAGUACCUCUGGUCGUAUUGCUGCUUGAACGUGGAGGAGGCCGCCAGCGGCAGAAAGUUUCGCCUCACGCUCACCAUUCCUGGUGGGAGGUCUCUCGAGUACGAUCCCAGCAUCACCAUCGAUGAAGCAGGUGUUGCCAACGCCAUACUGAACAUGGCAUGGGAUUGAUCGCUAGUUUUCUUUUCUCCUUCGCCUGUAUCUGGCAAUCAUCUCAACGCGUAGUCAGUCGUAAGAACUCUUUCAAUCAAAACAUGAUUUUUAAGGCUUUUGUUUUGCAAACCUGGUAAUCAUUCUGUCCGAGGACGAGCGCCCCGUGAGUCGGCAGUCAUGAGUCGACAGUCAGACACAGAUAGCUCCAAAAGAUACCUGAAACUCCAGACACGAUAAAUUCCUCUGCAAAGCUGCUACCAACGCGCUCUGGUUCUUCUGUAUAUUUCAAUGUAGCCAGCAAAGAACUUCCAGGUUUGGCGAUGGAGAAGGUCCCGCUGCUGCUGCUUGUAGCGAUGGUGGUGCUAGCAGCAGCAGCACUUCCGGUUCUGGGACAAGAAGUAGAAGCUGAAAACGAGGCGUUCGAUCCAAACGACGACUUCGAGUUCCAGAUGAAGAAGCCGAAAAUUCUCGUCAAAGGCCAUGUUGUCUGUGAUCGAUGCUGGCACGGACGUGUUGGCAACAUGAGCCUCCCUCUCCAUGGUACGCAAGAAAACCAUCUUUGGUAGAAGUUUGAGAGAAGUUCUUCGUUCUUGUGUCGAGCAGACGCCGAGGUAGGCAUCAAAUGCGUGGACCUGUAUGGAUUCGUGACCUUCUCCGGCGUUGGAUACACCAACACUCACGGCGUCUUCACCAUUCCCAUGGACGAGAUUCCAGCCAUCUUCGGCGUUAAGGGAUGCAAAGCCAAGCUUCUGCGAGGCCCAAGCACCGGCGACUGCGAUGAGGUGAGCUCCAUGGGAGAUGGUCACACGGGAGCUCCGCUUCUACUCGUCCACAAAUCCCUGCGAGAGGUCGUGUUUACUUCCGGUCCCUUCGCGUGCCGGCCUCUCAAACGUCCGGGAGCUUGCAAAACCGCCGCUGCUCCUCCUCUUCCUCCUCCGCCAGUUUACAAGUACUCGUCACCACCGCCACCGUUCAAGCACGUCCCAAACCAUCAUCCACCCCCGCCAAGCGUUCCCAGCUACCAUUCUCACACUCCUCCGCCUGUUUCUCACCAUCCGCCACCACCAUCUCCACGACCAGUUGCUCCUCCAGUUUCUAAGUCGCCGUUCAAUCCAUACAUUUACAAGUCCCCACCCCCACCACCUCCAGCUCCUGUGAAAUACCAUCAUCCACCUCCGGCUCCAAUCUACUUCCGCAAAACUCCACCUCCGCAGAUCCAUCCUUCACCACCUCCUGUAACUUCUCACAAGUAUCCGCCUCCAAUGGCACCUCAGAAGCCAUUACCACCACCUCCUGUAACUUCUCACAAGUAUCCGCCUCCAAUGGCACCUAAGAAGCCAUCGCCACCACCAAGUAGCAAGCCGCCACCUCCAAAAUCAUCACCUGGGCCUGUUACAAAGCUUCCAC